rnacentral:rRNA from 1 species
UACGGAGGGUGCAAGCGUUAAUCGGAAUUACUGGGCGUAAAGCGUGCGCAGGCGGUUUGUUAAGUCUGUUGUGAAGUCCCCGAGCUCAACUUGGGAAUUGCAAUGGAUACUGGCAGGCUGGAGUAUGGUAGAGGAAGGUGGAAUUCCCGGUGUAGCAGUGAAAUGCGUAGAGAUCGGGAGGAACACCAGUGGCGAAGGCGGCCUUCUGGACCAAUACUGACGCUCAUGCACGAAAGCGUGGGGAGCAAACAGG